GUUGAAACAUCAGUUCCUCUACGAUCACCGAAGUUAAACAACGCCGAGCCUGGUCAGUAACAGGAUGGGUGAUAGCUUGAGAAUAUCAGGUGCUGUAAG